UACCAGCUCUCCGAGUGGUAGGGAUGAUUAUUGGGCUUAAAGCGUCCGUAGCCGGCUUAGCAAGUCUCCUGUUAAAUUCAGCGACCUAAUCGUUGAGCCGCGGGAGAUACUACCAGGCUAGGAGGCGGGAGAGGUCGACGGUACUUCUGGGGUAGGGGUGAAAUCCUAUAAUCCCGGGAGGACCACCAGUGGCGAAGGCUGUCGACUAGAACGCGCUCGACGGUGAGGGACGGAAGCUGGGGGAGCGAACCGGAUUAGAUACCCGGGUAGUCCCAGCUGUAAACGAUGCGGGCUAGGUGUUGGGGUGGCUACGUGCCACUUCAGUGCCGCAGGGAAGCCAUUAAGCCCGCCGCCUGGGGAGUACGGCCGCAAGGCUGAAACUUAAGGAAUUGGCGGGGAGCACCACAAGGCGUGAAGCUUGCGGUUC
rnacentral:rRNA from 1 species